rnacentral:rRNA from 1 species
CCUACGGGUGGCAGCAGUGGGGAAUAUUGGGCAAUGGGCGCAAGCCUGACCCAGCAACGCCGCGUGAAGGAAGGAGGCUUUCGGGUUGUAAACUUCUUUUGUCAGGGAAGAGUAGAAGACGGUACCUGACGAAUAAGCCACGGCUAACUACGUGCCAGCAGCCGCGGUAAUACGUAGGUGGCAAGCGUUGUCCGGAUUUACUGGGUGUAAAGGGCGUGUAGCCGGGUUGACAAGUCAGAUGUGAAAUCCUGCGGCUUAACCGCAGAACUGCAUUUGAAACUGUUGAUCUUGAGUACUGGAGAGGCAGACGGAAUUCCUAGUGUAGCGGUGAAAUGCGUAGAUAUUAGGAGGAACACCAGUGGCGAAGGCGGACUACUGGACGAUAACUGACGGUGAGGCGCGAAAGCGUGGGGAGCAAACAGGAUUAGAUACCCGAGUAGUC